UAAACAAAGUUGGCCCAUCGUGUAAAAAUAUUGGCUUCUAUUAAUACAGUAUUUGCUAAUUUCUUGGCCAUUCUUAUCUCCACCUCCACCUCCACCACCUUCGGGUUGAUUAUUUUUUUGUUCUACUUCCAUUGCUCUUCGGCUUCAACGCCGUGUGCAAUGUGUCUAUCUCGACACACCCUAGGUGUAUUAGAAAACACACACACACACACACACACACACACACACACACACACACACACAGGAACUUGUAUUUGGAUAAAUAGAAAGGAUACAAUAGAAAUGUUCUUGACUGGAUGUCCAUUUAGGCAAUCCAUAAAGCCUGUUUACUUCUAGUUACUGAUGGGGU
rnacentral:lncRNA from 1 species